rnacentral:tRNA from 1 species
AAAGCGUUAGCUCAGCGGGAAGAGCGCCUGUUUUACACGCAGGAGGUCGUGGGUUCGAGUCCCACACGCUU